rnacentral:pre_miRNA from 11 species
CUGUAGUGCAUUGUAGUUGCAUUGCAUGUUCUAGCAGUAUUUGUGCAAUGUUUCCGCAGUGCAAUACAG